GGGUUGUGAGGUUAAGCGACUAAGCGUACACGGUGGAUGCCCUGGCAGUCAGAGGCGAUGAAGGACGUGCUAAUCUGCGAUAAGCGUCGGUAAGGUGAUAUGAACCGUUAUAACCGGCGAUUUCCGAAUGGGGAAACCCAGUGUGUUUCGACACACUAUCAUUAACUGAAUCCAUAGGUUAAUGAGGCGAACCGGGGGAACUGAAACAUCUAAGUACCCCGAGGAAAAGAAAUCAACCGAGAUUCCCCCAGUAGCGGCGAGCGAACGGGGAGCAGCCCAGAGCCUGAAUCAGUGUGUGUGUUAGUGGAAGCGUCUGGAAAGGCGCGCGAUACAGGGUGACAGCCCCGUACACAAAAAUGCACAUGCUGUGAGCUCGAUGAGUAGGGCGGGACACGUGGUAUCCUGUCUGAAUAUGGGGGGACCAUCCUCCAAGGCUAAAUACUCCUGACUGACCGAUAGUGAACCAGUACCGUGAGGGAAAGGCGAAAAGAACCCCGGCGAGGGGAGUGAAAAAGAACCUGAAACCGUGUACGUACAAGCAGUGGGAGCCUCUUUUAUGGGGUGACUGCGUACCUUUUGUAUAAUGGGUCAGCGACUUAUAUUCUGUAGCAAGGUUAACCGAAUAGGGGAGCCGAAGGGAAACCGAGUCUUAACUGGGCGUUAAGUUGCAGGGUAUAGACCCGAAACCCGGUGAUCUAGCCAUGGGCAGGUUGAAGGUUGGGUAACACUAACUGGAGGACCGAACCGACUAAUGUUGAAAAAUUAGCGGAUGACUUGUGGCUGGGGGUGAAAGGCCAAUCAAACCGGGAGAUAGCUGGUUCUCCCCGAAAGCUAUUUAGGUAGCGCCUCGUGAAUUCAUCUCCGGGGGUAGAGCACUGUUUCGGCAAGGGGGUCAUCCCGACUUACCAACCCGAUGCAAACUGCGAAUACCGGAGAAUGUUAUCACGGGAGACACACGGCGGGUGCUAACGUCCGUCGUGAAGAGGGAAACAACCCAGACCGCCAGCUAAGGUCCCAAAGUCAUGGUUAAGUGGGAAACGAUGUGGGAAGGCCCAGACAGCCAGGAUGUUGGCUUAGAAGCAGCCAUCAUUUAAAGAAAGCGUAAUAGCUCACUGGUCGAGUCGGCCUGCGCGGAAGAUGUAACGGGGCUAAACCAUGCACCGAAGCUGCGGCAGCGACGCUUAUGCGUUGUUGGGUAGGGGAGCGUUCUGUAAGCCUGCGAAGGUGUGCUGUGAGGCAUGCUGGAGGUAUCAGAAGUGCGAAUGCUGACAUAAGUAACGAUAAAGCGGGUGAAAAGCCCGCUCGCCGGAAGACCAAGGGUUCCUGUCCAACGUUAAUCGGGGCAGGGUGAGUCGACCCCUAAGGCGAGGCCGAAAGGCGUAGUCGAUGGGAAACAGGUUAAUAUUCCUGUACUUGGUGUUACUGCGAAGGGGGGACGGAGAAGGCUAUGUUGGCCGGGCGACGGUUGUCCCGGUUUAAGCGUGUAGGCUGGUUUUCCAGGCAAAUCCGGAAAAUCAAGGCUGAGGCGUGAUGACGAGGCACUACGGUGCUGAAGCAACAAAUGCCCUGCUUCCAGGAAAAGCCUCUAAGCAUCAGGUAACAUCAAAUCGUACCCCAAACCGACACAGGUGGUCAGGUAGAGAAUACCAAGGCGCUUGAGAGAACUCGGGUGAAGGAACUAGGCAAAAUGGUGCCGUAACUUCGGGAGAAGGCACGCUGAUAUGUAGGUGAAGUCCCUCGCGGAUGGAGCUGAAAUCAGUCGAAGAUACCAGCUGGCUGCAACUGUUUAUUAAAAACACAGCACUGUGCAAACACGAAAGUGGACGUAUACGGUGUGACGCCUGCCCGGUGCCGGAAGGUUAAUUGAUGGGGUCAGCGCAAGCGAAGCUCUUGAUCGAAGCCCCGGUAAACGGCGGCCGUAACUAUAACGGUCCUAAGGUAGCGAAAUUCCUUGUCGGGUAAGUUCCGACCUGCACGAAUGGCGUAAUGAUGGCCAGGCUGUCUCCACCCGAGACUCAGUGAAAUUGAACUCGCUGUGAAGAUGCAGUGUACCCGCGGCAAGACGGAAAGACCCCGUGAACCUUUACUAUAGCUUGACACUGAACAUUGAGCCUUGAUGUGUAGGAUAGGUGGGAGGCUUUGAAGUGUGGACGCCAGUCUGCAUGGAGCCGACCUUGAAAUACCACCCUUUAAUGUUUGAUGUUCUAACGUUGACCCGUGAUCCGGGUUGCGGACAGUGUCUGGUGGGUAGUUUGACUGGGGCGGUCUCCUCCUAAAGAGUAACGGAGGAGCACGAAGGUUGGCUAAUCCUGGUCGGACAUCAGGAGGUUAGUGCAAUGGCAUAAGCCAGCUUGACUGCGAGCGUGACGGCGCGAGCAGGUGCGAAAGCAGGUCAUAGUGAUCCGGUGGUUCUGAAUGGAAGGGCCAUCGCUCAACGGAUAAAAGGUACUCCGGGGAUAACAGGCUGAUACCGCCCAAGAGUUCAUAUCGACGGCGGUGUUUGGCACCUCGAUGUCGGCUCAUCACAUCCUGGGGCUGAAGUAGGUCCCAAGGGUAUGGCUGUUCGCCAUUUAAAGUGGUACGCGAGCUGGGUUUAGAACGUCGUGAGACAGUUCGGUCCCUAUCUGCCGUGGGCGCUGGAGAACUGAGGGGGGCUGCUCCUAGUACGAGAGGACCGGAGUGGACGCAUCACUGGUGUUCGGGUUGUCAUGCCAAUGGCACUGCCCGGUAGCUAAAUGCGGAAGAGAUAAGUGCUGAAAGCAUCUAAGCACGAAACUUGCCCCGAGAUGAGUUCUCCCUGACUCCUUGAGAGUCCUGAAGGAACGUUGAAGACGACGACGUUGAUAGGCCGGGUGUGUAAGCGCAGCGAUGCGUUGAGCUAACCGGUACUAAUGAACCGUGAGGCUUAACCUUACAACGCCGAAGCUGUU
rnacentral:rRNA from 1 species